GAUGAACGCUGGCGGCGUGCCUAAUACAUGCAAGUCGAGCGAACAGACGAGGAGCUUGCUCCUCUGACGUUAGCGGCGGACGGGUGAGUAACACGUGGAUAACCUACCUAUAAGACUGGGAUAACUUCGGGAAACCGGAGCUAAUACCGGAUAAUAUCUUUAACCGCAUGGUUCAAUAGUGAAAGACGGUUUUGCUUCCCUUUAUAGAUGGAUCCGCGCCUCUUUAGCAAGUUGGUAAGGUAACGGCUUACCAAGGCAACGAUGCGAAGCCGACCUGAGAGGGUGAUCGGCCACACUGGAACUGAGACACGGUCCAGACUCCUACGGAAGGCAGCAGUAGGGAAUCUUCCGCAAUGGGCGAAAGCCUGACGGAGCAAGGCCGCGUGAGUGAGGAAGGUCUUGGGAUCGUAAAACUCUGUUAUUAGGGAAAAACAAAUGUGUAAGUAACUAUGCACGUCUUGACGGUACCUAAUCAGAAAGCCACGGCUAACUACGUG
rnacentral:rRNA from 1 species